UUUACCUCACAGCAAAACUUCACAGCCCUGCUUCAUUUGAUGAGCCCCAGAAAGACCAAAUCCUUCAUGCACUUUCUAGAUAUUUAAGAAAACAACCUGGAGGAGGUGCGCAGAAUGACGCAGCAGGCAGCACCUUACAAUGAGAGAACACAAGAGGGAAACAGGGUGAAAACUGCCUUAAGAGGUUGCUUAAGGUGGCUAAGUUGCUUCCAAGGGGCGGAGCGGUGGCACUGUGGCUAAGGAUCUGCAUCUGUGGCAGAUCUGGAAGGUUACCCGUUCAAAUUCCGUGGCCGGCAGAGGAACCUACACCGUUGGGCCCCUGAGCAAGGCCCUUAACCGCAACUGCUC